ACUGUGGCUUAGUGGUAAAGCACUUCAUUGGUAAUGAAGAGAUCGGGGGUCCGAUUCCCCUCAGU
rnacentral:tRNA from 1 species